AGCUGCCUGCCAACUGUAUCGUGGCGGGACAGACGAUGGGGAUCAGACUUGUCUGUGACAUGAUUCAAAAUGAAAACAACGUUGAUUUCAAAAUAACCGGGAUACUCGGCGUAGACGAUGCAGCUAAUGGCUUUGGACAGUGUACUUCCAAAUGUGACUUCCAGUCUGACGUUUCCUUGUUUUAAUAAGGAACGUACUGGGGGGUGUCAAGUGUUUGGCUCCAGCUUGCAACUUUCUGAGCUUUCACCAUUCGAAGUAGAUUCUGCUUCUCGCCGUCGAUUACGGAUUCUCCAACAAGAUCGCAAUGUUCGAUCCAGAGAAAGCGGCUGAACACAUCGAUGACCAUCAACAAGUACUUUACGCCCGAGUUAUGUUUG